CAGAAAAUAGUUUAAUGCAGUUUACACUGGUUUUGGGGACUAGAGAUAGGCUACUGGUGGCUUUUUUUUGU
rnacentral:tRNA from 1 species